rnacentral:lncRNA from 1 species
CACUUAGUUAAGUCAUUCCCACCAUGCAAGUUCGAGUAGGGGUUCAAGAACAACCUCACAAUGAUAUGAUGUUGGCUAUUCUCGUUGCCUACCUUCACAACAUCAUGUAUGCAUAUAGAACUCCUCCUGAGUGUAAGCACGCACUUUGUACUCCCCCAUAUGAUAGGGUGAAGUCAGUGUACGAGUCACAAACGAUCGGAGCCUACCACGGUGGAAGGCCACGAAAGAGUGUUCAAAGCACUCUCACGCUUAUCAACUUAAUAAUGGUUUGGUUGAGGGUUUUAGGUCUCAUCACAUAUAAACAUACAUUUUAAUCUUAUUAAAACAAUUUUGGUCCUAUUACAACUAUUGGUCCAUGUGAUUGAUUUAGUAGUAUAUAAUACUCCCACUAAGCUUGUAAAAC